rnacentral:tRNA from 1 species
GGGGCUGCCACCGGAACACUGGGCGGUGCUCGGGGUGCUGACCAACUGCUCCUGGUCAGUAUUGGUUGAAAAUGUAAGUGCCUUUGGCCCGAGGUGGCGCCUGCAGGAGUACAACGCCGGUACUUUGCCGGAGUCGGCGCUAGCCGAUGACCGCUAGUCACAAGCGCUGGCCACUUGAACCGGCCCGGGCCGCGCUCGGUAUGCUCACGCUUCCCGUGUUCCGCGGGGCCGGUUAGUUUCGGGGCUGUGGCGCAGCUGGUAGCGCACCUGCAUGGCAUGCAGGGGGUCAGGGGUUCGAAUCCCCUCAGCUCCAC